UUGGUUUUGUAGCUUGGUGAGAGCUAUCGACCAUGCGAGGUCUGCAGGCAACUUGUAGAUGGAAAGGAAUUUGCCACAGAUCCCACACAAUGACUGACUUCACAUUUUUAAAUGUAUUAUUGUUAGACACUGUCAGCAAUUGCCUUAGAACAGUUCAGGAAGGAAAUUUGCCUCUCUUUAACUGUAUCAUUCUUCAAAGAAGAGAAGAAUCUCAAAUCCUACCAGACUCCACUGACUCCUGGCUCAUGCUGGUGUGAAAUCCUCUUCAACCAAGAUUAGCAGCUCUGGAGAAGAAUAGAAGAGGAACCAUUCAUCAAAUAAAAAUAAAAAGAGUUGCUUGGCCAGCACAUUGAGGAAGGGUGAGCCUUGCCCACAAGGGAGGGCCCGAGUCAGCAAGCCUGUCCAACGGGGGAACGCAACCAGGAGGAAGCCACCGACCGCCCAGGAUACAGGGAGGUUCCAAGCCUGGCCGAAACGCUCCGACUCGUCCCAAGGGGAGGCGCACGGCCACCGGACCACCGCCCCCUCCCCCACCAAGUAAGCCCCACCGCUAACACCAACCUUAUCCCUCCCAGAGUGCUUGGGGCCCCCAGCACGAAGAUGUGCCCGCGCCCAAUGGCGGCAGACAAAAGCAUGGCCUAACCCUAAUAAAAUCAAUGACCAGCCACCCAAGUAUCCGUAAUAAGUUGUUUAUUCAAUUAUAAAACAAAUCACUUCCAUCAGUGGAGGGAAUAAAUUAAUGGUGCAACUUCUUAAAGGUCAAGUGUCAUCCCCAUAAACAUUGUAAAAUAGAUAUUGUAAUGAAAAAUACAUAUAACAUUAUUCACUUCUAUGUCUAUUCGAAAAAAUAAAUAUGAGCCGAGAGCGCGUCAUCCAUGCGCAAAGUUGCGGAAAUCUCAUUCGACAUCCAAGUGGUCGCCAUAUUGGCUGCAUCUUCUGUCCGAUCGAAAACACGCGGUGCCACCUACUAUGCCCCCCCCCCCCCACUUUACACACAGAAGUUCUUUUCGAAGAAACAAACAACUAACAACCGAGUGAAGUGACCGGGGCAAUAUUAGCCUAUCGUUUCGAGCCAUAUUUAGAUGAUAUGCGGAUCACGGCCAAACCGCCUCCCCGUCCGAUCCACCUCCGUGUGGCGGUGAUAAAAACAACCCCGCCCGCGAGCGACCACAACGCCAUGGCCAAACCCCCGCGGCAGAGAUGAGCCACGGUUGCUAGGCGCCACGAUGAGCCACACCAGCUCAGCGCCGGAAUGAGCCACCCCGGACCGAAGCCGUGACCGCGGUGGAUGAAGCACGGCUUCGGCAGCGGCUCGUCCGAAGCUGUGCUCUGCGCCGACGGGUACAUCGACAUAUUUAGCAACCCUUACUUAGGUGCGCGGAUCUUUUAUUACAUUCUCAGAGGAUUAGGCCCCCCGUCAAACUAUUAUUUUUUUUUAGUAGCAGUAUACACACCUAUCUGUCAUUUGGAACCCACGAAGCUCUCGCCCUUUGCACCCGUGCAAUCCAUUUUUCACGACGAACCUGGUCUUUUUGAAAAGUAUGAAGAAUUAAUCCAUCCUCCCGAGUCUUCGAGCAAUAUCCAGCAAUACAACGAGCCGGCAUUUUGGCUAACACGAAGGAACAACGAGCUACCUUCCUGGAGGUAAAACUAGUGUAAACAGACGAGACUUCUUGAAUGUGCUAAUGCCCUGUAUGUUACUUCCUGCUUCUUCUCGAAAACAAAUCCCUCAAGAGGAUUUUCAUGGUGGGAGUUACAAAAAGGCAUAUAGCUCAAAAUCAUGUUUUAUGGUGAAAAAAUGGAUGGGUCCAUACCGGCUGCCGUUUUUUCAUUAAUAACAUACUAAAAAUCAUGCAUUUCAUGACAGUGGCCCUUUAAAUAAGUUAGUAAUGAAAGACGUUGGACGGAGAAAAACAUUUUAAACUUUUAAUGGAAUAUCUCUGAAUUUCUGUUUUAAAAUAUAAUCUGAUGAAUGAGCGAACCACAUCUAAAACACAUUUUAACAUCAACAUCACUUUUCUGUUUGAUUUACGACUGAAAUCUGUAUACUAUCCUUACUUCAUGGCCAUCAACUGUGACUCAUUACCCAAAUUAAAAUCCCCUAAAAAAAACAUUCAGUGAGUGGAAAGACCAUCCACAAGAAGUGCCGUAUCUCUUUGAUCAAAGUCGAUUUUGUCAAAUAAUAAUGUGCAAAACAAUAACAAUCAAGAGCAUGGUAAGUGAAUCACGUAAAUCAAAUAUUUGUCUACUCUUACCACACCGCUCUUGACUUCUGUUUAGCAACCGAUAAUUCUUACAGGACCUUCAUGGUACUCUCAAAAAUGGACAGCAUGAUUUCUUUGUUUCAGUCUUUGAGUGUUACCACAACGACGUUUUUUAUGUAUGAAUUAUAACAUUCUGCCAGUUAGCAAGUAGCAACAAUCCACUCUUCCUUUAUUCAACUUGAACCACCUGACUAGAGCAUCAAAAUAGGUUUAAUUAAUGCAUGUAAAAUGAGGAUGAAUAGAAAAGUGUAGUGAAUGUUGCCAGCUACCCAAAUAAUUUGUGCAUGUAAACCUAUCACUAAAUGCUUCUUUGAGUGGCCCUUUUGUGAAAUAUAUCUUGUUUAUUUUUGUUUUACUGCCUCUAGUGUAGCCUUCUGCACCCACACACACACACACACACACACAUGCACACGCACACAAAGAGGAAGAGAAACAACUUGGCCUGUUUGAGAUACAGUAAACGGUGUACAAGAGGCAGAACCACAGUACCAGCAGCCAACCACUUUCAAUCACUCUGCACCACCUGAGACAGACCUAGCUGGAAAGAAAAAGUGCCAAUUCAACCACCCACACACACACACACACACACGCACACCCACACUCACACACUUUUUCUUUUCUUUUCUUUUUUUUUAUAACUCAAGCACUAUAAUCCUAUAAUCUAAUUCUCAUCAGCACUUCUCAUGUGAUUAAGCAUUUCUGCAGUGUUCCUAAACCUCUGAGGUCUCUGAGCAGGAAGUGCGACAUGACGAGCUCCACAAUUACAGUCAGCCACGACGUUUCUUGCACAUAAAAUGCAACCAUGAUUCUUUAUCAAUAGUCGGACGACUCCUGCGUUGUUGGACAUAAUCAAAUAAACACAUCCUCUUUUCUUUUCAUGAUCACAUACUUGUUUCCUGUUUUUAUUGUUUUUUUAAACUUGGAAACAACAUAUACCUGAUUUCCUUUUUUUCAUCUACCUGAUUUCCAAUUCAAAAACCUAUAUCUAUAUACCCAGUUAAUCUAUAUCUUGAUGAACUGGACAUUGGGAAUUCUGUCAAUUCGUUGUUGAGUAACUACAUCUUGGAGAGUAUUUGUGCACGGUGAUGUCUUUGUGAUUAAAAAUGUA